UACGGGGGGGGCAAGCGUUGUUCGGAAUUACUGGGCGUAAAGGGUUCGUAGGUGGCCAACUAAGUCAGACGUGAAAUCCCUCAGCUUAACUGGGGAACUGCGUCUGAUACUGGUCUGGCUUGAGUGCAGGAGAGGAACGCGGAAUUCCAGGUGUAGCGGUGAAAUGCGUAGAUAUUGGGAAGAACACCUGAGGCGAAGGCGGGUUGCUGGGCUGAUACUGACGCUGAGGCGCGAAAGCCAGGGGAGCAAACGGG
rnacentral:rRNA from 1 species